rnacentral:rRNA from 1 species
GAUGAACGCUGGCGGCGUGCCUAAUACAUGCAAGUCGAGCGAACAGAUAAGGAGCCUGCUCCUUUGACGUUAGCGGCGGACGGGUGAGUAACACGUGGAUAACCUACCUAUAAGACUGGGAUAACUUCGGGAAACCGGAGCUAAUACCGGAUAACAUAUUGAACCGCAUGGUUCAAUAGUGAAAGGCGGCUUUGCUGUCACUUAUAGAUGGAUCCGCGCCGUAUUAGCUAGUUGGUAAGGUAACGGCUUACCAAGGCAACGAUACGUAGCCGACCUGAGAGGGUGAUCGGCCACACUGGAACUGAGACACGGUCCAGACUCCUACGGGAGGCAGCAGUAGGGAAUCUUCCGCAAUGGGCGAAAGCCUGACGGAGCAACGCCGCGUGAGUGAUGAAGGUCUUCGGAUCGUAAAACUCUGUUAUCAGGGAAGAACAAAUGUGUAAGUAACUGUGCACAUCUUGACGGUACCUGAUCAGAAAGCCACGGCUAACUACGUG